UUUUUUUUUUGUGAGAAAUCUCACACUGCACCCACAGAGCGCCAUCUGGAGCUUGGUUCCCUCUCCCAGUCUAGCACUCCAGGAGGUGUGAGGAAUCCAGUGACUGGUCAGGAUUCCAUCAAUAGGUUCUGCCUUCUGACUUGAGAACCAAUAGGGCUUGGCCAAUGGAGAGCCUGGAGAGUGAGGACAGGAUGUGCCUUCCCUGGCUCCCUUCCUUCAAGUUGGCUGAGAUGCGUUGGCUGGAUGACUGACGGAACAGUGUCUGGGCUAGGAAACACAGGUGUCAGGAGAAGAGAAUGAGCCCUGCAAGCUAUUUGGCAUAUGAAGGUCCUGACCUGAGAAAACCAUCUUGGAUAACCGCGCAAGGAGAGGGAAAAAUGCAACACCUAGGAGAUUUCAGUAAACAGUAGAAUCAUGCCAACCUAAUCUGUGUUAAAAUGCUUGGAAUGUGGGAGCCGCAGAUGAUGCCUGUUGUCUGUGUGUCUGACUGAAUCCUUUCUUUUCUCAGAGCAGCAAAGCCAAGCCUGGGAACCAGGCCAAACGCCUGCCACUUACCUUAAAUUGAUCAGCCACUUGGAGAUUAAAACCCCUGAAAGCUGCCACACCGUGAAAACAAGGCCUCCUUCACAUUAAAGGCAAAUGGCGACUUUG